ACAAAGAAACAGUCUCGUAUUUAGGAUUUGUUUUUUUACAAGUUCUAGGGUUGUGUUUCGUGUUUUCAGAGCCAUGAGUGAGGUGUUCGAAGGAUACGAGCGCCAAUGCUGCAAGCUCUCUGCAAAUCUUUCCAGAAUAUGCAACUCAACUUCUCUCCUUUCCGAUACAGAUCAGAAGAAGGAAAAGGUUGCGGAUAUAAAAUUUGGUCUAGGUGAUGCUGACGUUUUGCCAAUUUAUAAUCAGCUUCUACCAAGCCGCCAAAGGAGAUUCUCUAAUGCCUAGGACAACCACAUGCGCCUCCUGGGAUCACAACAGCCCCGUUCUUAUGAGCAAGCCAACGAACAACCGCAUAGUCAUCUGGUAAUUAUUAGAACAUAUGCAGAACAGUCUGGAAUUUAUUAGGAUAAGUUUCAUGGGAAACCAUUUGAAUUGUGAUAAAAAUCUUCCCCACCCCGUGAAUCUAGGAAUAAUGAUUCAGGUAAUUUGGUUUGAUAUUAAUUUGCUUCAUAAUGUAGGGAAUGAUCUCUCAAAAUACAGCAUAUAAAUUGUCUAGACCAGCUAACUGCUCGGGUAAUCUCCUAUUCUUUUAGGGGGUUUAAAGAAGCCCAUUAUCAGAAUUAUAGUUGGGAUUAUUGGAGGAUUUCAUGUUCUUUUUGGAGCUCUCUAUUUUUCUUGUGCAAGGCUAAACAUAAAGGCUACUGGCGUGGAGUAUUUGUAGAUGUUGCAGUUUUCCUUUUCAGUAUUUGGCUUAAAUUUUUGGAGCAUUUGUGCAUGGCUUAAACAAUAUUUUCGUUAGGAUGGUGAUGAACAAUGAAGUCAAUCUAUGCAUACGUUAUGAAGCAAUCUCAUCGUACCCAACAAAUAAAUGCAUGGUACAUCGUUUUGUUAGGAUGCCACAUCAUUUUGUUGCCACCCAUUGAUGCCACAUCAUUUUGUUAACGGCUUAAACAAUAUUGGCAUCAAGUAGCGGCUUAAGCAAACUAAUUACAACAUUUUGGCAUCCGAGUAAUAAGUAUGACUGUUAAUUUUGUUCAUAUAUAAUUUAUAAUUAGAUUUUACAUAAAAUAUAAAUAAAUCUUUGAUA